rnacentral:ncRNA from 1 species
UUAUGAUGCUCGCGUCACGGCAAAAUCCGUGACCGGGUUUGGCGACCCGAAUC